AUUGAACGCUGGCGGCAGGCCUAACACAUGCAAGUCGAGCGGAUGAAGGGAGCUUGCUCCUGGAUUCAGCGGCGGACGGGUGAGUAAUGCCUAGGAAUCUGCCUGGUAGUGGGGGAUAACGUCCGGAAACGGGCGCUAAUACCGCAUACGUCCUGAGGGAGAAAGUGGGGGAUCUUCGGACCUCACGCUAUCAGAUGAGCCUAGGUCGGAUUAGCUAGUUGGUGGGGUAAAGGCCUACCAAGGCGACGAUCCGUAACUGGUCUGAGAGGAUGAUCAGUCACACUGGAACUGAGACACGGUCCAGACUCCUACGGGAGGCAGCAGUGGGGAAUAUUGGACAAUGGGCGAGAGCCUGAUCCAGCCAUGCCGCGUGUGUGAAGGAGGUCUUCGGAUUGUAAAGCACUUUAAGUUGGGAGGAAGGGCAGUAAGUUAAUACCUUGCUGUUUUGACGUUACCAACAGAAUAAGCACCGGCUAACUUCGUG
rnacentral:rRNA from 1 species